GUCCACGCCGUAAACGAUGGGCACUAGGUCCUUGGGGGAGCGACCCCUUGAGGGCCGGCGCUAACGCAUUAAGUGCCCCGCCUGGGGAGUACGGCCGCAAGGCUGAAACUCAAAGGAAUUGACGGGGGCCCGCACAAGCGGUGGAGCAUGUGGUUUAAUUCGACGCAACGCGAAGAACCUUACCUGGGCUUGACAUGCACGGGAACUCGUGGGGAAACCCGCGGGGCUCUUCGGAGCUAGUGCACAGGUGCUGCAUGGCUGUCGU
rnacentral:rRNA from 1 species